GACGAACGCUGGCGGCGUGCCUAAUACAUGCAAGUCGAGCGAAGUUUUUCUGGUCUUUGCACUCUGACAACUUCGCGGCAAGCGUGUGUGUCACGCGUAUAGAACCUCCCUCAUAGACUGAUAACACUAUUAGAAACGAUAUCUAAUCCCGUAUUAUAUUAUUUCUCGCGUGUCAGUUAUUUAAGAGUUUUUUAUGCUCACUCUAUGAUAUGUCUUUGCGGUGCAUUAGCUAGUUGGUGGGGUAAAGGCUCACCAAGGCCACGAUGCAUAGCCGACCUGAGAGGGUGAUCGGCCAAACUGGAACUGAGACACGGCCCAGACUCCUACGGGAGGCAGCAGUAGGGAAUCUUCCGCAAUGGGCGAAAGCCUGACGGAGCAACGCCGCGUGAGUGAAGAAGGAUUUCGGUUCGUAAAGCUCUGUUGUUAGGGAAGAACGGAUAUGUAGGAAAUAUAGAAGGAAGAGACGGUACCUAACCAGAAAGCCACGGCUAACUACGUG
rnacentral:rRNA from 1 species